rnacentral:rRNA from 1 species
CCUACGGGUGGCAGCAGUGAGGAAUAUUGGUCAAUGGCCGAGAGGCUGAACCAGCCAAGUCGCGUGAGGGAAGACGGCCCUACGGGUUGUAAACCUCUUUUGUCGGGGAGCAAAGCGAGUCACGUGUGACUCAUUGAGAGUACCCGAAGAAAAAGCAUCGGCUAACUCCGUGCCAGCAGCCGCGGUAAUACGGAGGAUGCGAGCGUUAUCCGGAUUUAUUGGGUUUAAAGGGUGCGCAGGCGGAGGUGCAAGUCAGCGGUCAAAUUGCGGGGCUCAACCCCGUACUGCCGUUGAAACUGCAGCCCUUGAGUGCGAGAGAAGUAUGCGGAAUGCGUGGUGUAGCGGUGAAAUGCAUAGAUAUCACGCAGAACUCCGAUUGCGAAGGCAGCAUACCAGCGCGCAACUGACGCUCAUGCACGAAAGCGUGGGUAUCGAACAGGAUUAGAUACCCGAGUAGUC